rnacentral:rRNA from 1 species
GACGAACGCUGGCGGCGUGCCUAAUACAUGCAAGUCGAACGCAAAACUUUCACCGAAUGCUUGCAUUCACGAAAGUUUUGAGUGGCGAACGGGUGAGUAACACGUGGGUAACCUGCCCAGAAGAGGGGGAUAACACUUGGAAACAGGUGCUAAUACCGCAUAAUAACAAAAACCGCAUAGUUUUUGUUUGAAAGAUGGUUUUGCUAUCACUUCUGGAUGGACCCGCGGCGUAUUAGCUAGUUGGUAAGGUAAAGGCUUACCAAGGCAAUGAUACGCAGCCGAACUGAGAGGUUGAUCGGCCACAUUGGGACUGAGACACGGCCCAAACUCCUACGGGAGGCAGCAGUAGGGAAUCUUCCACAAUGGACGAAAGUCUGAUGGAGCAACGCCGCGUGAGUGAAGAAGGUUUUCGGAUCGUAAAACUCUGUUGUCAGAGAAGAACGUGUGCGAGAGUAACUGCUCGUGCAGUGACGGUAUCUGGCCAGAAAGCUACGGCUAACUACGUGCCAGCAGCCGCCGUAA